rnacentral:tRNA from 1 species
GGUGAGGUAGCUCAGCUGGCUAGAGCGCCGGUCUCAUAAGCCGGAGGUCGAGAGUUCAAGUCUCUCCCUCACUACCA